rnacentral:rRNA from 1 species
AGAGUUUGAUCCUGGCUCAGGAUGAACGUUGGCGGUGUGCCUAAUACAUGCAAGUCGAACGGUGACGAUUUUGUAGCAAUACGAAUGAAAUCAUAGUGGCGAACGGGUGAGUAACGCGUUGGUGAUCUGCCUCGAAGUGUGGAAUAACUUCCCGAAAGGGUAGCUAAUACCGCAUAGUCUCUCAGGGUUUAGAAAACUGAGAGUAAAGGAUUUAUUCGCUUCGAGAGGAGCCUGCGUCCCAUCAGCUAGUUGGUAGGGUAGUAGCCUACCAAGGCAAUGACGGGUAGGGGACCUGAGAGGGUGGCCCCCCACAAUGGAACUGAAACACGGUCCAUACACCUACGGGUGGCAGCAGUAGGGAAUAUUAGAAAUGGGCGAAAGCCUGAUCUAGCAACACCGCGUGUGCGAUGAAGGCCUUCGGGUUGUAAAGCACUUUUUGGAGGGAAUAGGAAGGAAGGUACCUCCAGAAUAAGUCUCGGCUAACUACGUGCCAGCAGCCGCGGUAACACGUAGGAGGCAAACGUUAUCCGGAUUCACUGGGCGUAAAGCGCGUGUAGGUGGUUCUGUAAGUAGGGCGUGAAAGCUCCCGGCUCAACUGGGAGAGGCCGUACUAAACUGCAGAGCUAGAGGAUGGUAGAGGGAGGUGGAAUUCCAGGUGUAGUGGUGAAAUGCGCAGAUAUCUGGAGGAACACCAGUGGCGAAGGCGGCCUCCUGGACCAUUCCUGACACUCAGACGCGAAAGCUAGGGUAGCAAACGGAAUUAGAGACUCCGGUAGUCCUAGCCCUAAACGAUGCAGACUAGGCGUCGGCGGGUUUAAUCACCGUCGGUGUCCAAGCUAACGCGAUAAGUCUGCCGCCUGAGGACUACGGCCGCAAGGCUAAAACUCAAAUGAAUUGACGG